GAAAAGAGAGCAUGAUCCUAACAGAGAUAAGGCUUAGCCGGAAAGCACUGAUAACAGCAAGACAACAUACAAGCAUCACGCAACAGCUCGAAGGAAAAUAACCACUCAUUGGAUUCCCCCACCUCUAGGCUCCCCUAAACUGAAUACGGACGGUGCUGUCAAAGGGAAGCCAGGGCCAGCUGGUAUUGGGGGAGUUCUAAGGGACGACCAAGGCUUCAUAAAAGGUACACUUUCCAACCAUAUUGACAUUGAGGACUCAAAGUUUGCUGAAUUCCAAACCAUCCGGGAAGGAAUCAGAUUUUUCCUUCUUUCACUAGAAGUGGAAAGCAAUUCUUCCAAUCCCAUCAGUUGGGCCAAAGACCAUAGCAAGGUCACAUGGCACAUGAAAACCAUCUCCAAUGCCAUUGAAGCUUACUCAUGAAGCUGCACUGGAAUCUCAUUCAAACACAUCCUGCGUGAGGCUAGCAUUGUGGCUGAUGGAUUGGCUAAAGUGGGAGCCACAAGAACAAAUAAUUUUAGUGCCUACUUCACCGACUCAAGCAAAGGUGAAGCCAGCUAGUUUCUGUCUUUCUCAAUUUAUGACUUGCCUGGCACAUCAGGACUCCCCUGAUUGCUGCUCGUCCCAAUUAUCCGUUAUCCAUAUAUCCAUCAUCUUUGCUUUUUGGUCAGAGGUUAAGGAAUGGAGUCUUAAGUGUUGCUCAAUGGUGACGGAGCACGUAACCAUAUGUCCCGCCAAAAGAAUACUGAGGAGCCAUCUCCAAUAAUCCAUCUUAAUCCAUCUAGAGGCAUCAAAACCCACCAGUCCCUGUACUCCUUUUAUAGAAGGAAGAUUAACAAUGUUUUUCCAUACUGCUGAAAUCCUCCAUGUGUUGUGUACAGUUGGCAACCAACAUUAUUUACCUUCACCAUAUUUCGCUGUAAUGAGGCGACGCCAAAGAGAGUUAUACUCCACUCCAGAUCAGCACUGCCAUUUUUUGAAGUGCACUAGGUUCUUUUGGCGAAGGUUUGAUAUACCAAGUCCCCAAAUUGCCUAGGCUUGCAAAUUAUGCUUCCUUUCUUCCUCUCACUAUGAUAAGAUGAAUACAUGCUUCAUCAAUGUCA